GUGCCACAAGCUCAGUGGAGCCCAUUCUCCAAAAGGAAAAGCCGCCGCUGCAGCUGCAGCAGGUGAAGAGAUGAUCAGACAGUGAGGGAGCUCAGCGUUAUUUAUGGACUCAAAGUUUGGAGAAACAAACUACAUGUGUCUACCGAAUAUACACCAAUGCAAGUGGCGUCUCUCUCUCCUCUCCAAAGAGCUUGACACGCAUCCGACUCCGCCUCCUGGCGAUUACAGAAUGUCCGCGUGGGAUUGCAGGUAUUCCGCAUAAUUUGAAUCAUUUGUGGCGAGCACUUUAUUGUAAUAUGAGAACACA
rnacentral:lncRNA from 1 species